rnacentral:rRNA from 1 species
GGAUAACUUACCCUUAGGACUGGGAUAACUCUGGGAAACUGGGGAUAAUACUGGAUAUUAGGCUAUGCCUGGAAUGGUUUGCCUUUGAAAUGUUUUUUCGCCUAAGGAUAGGUCUGCGGCUGAUUAGGUCGUUGGUGGGGUAAUGGCCCACCAAGCCGAUGAUCGGUACGGGUUGUGAGAGCAAGGGCCCGGAGAUGGAACCUGAGACAAGGUUCCAGACCCUACGGGGUGCAGCAGGCGCGAAACCUCCGCAAUGUACGAAAGUGCGACGGGGGGAUCCCAAGUGUUAUGCUUUUUUGUAUGACUUUCCAUUAGUGUAAAAAGCUUUUAGAAUAAGAGCUGGGCAAGACCGGUGCCAGCCGCCGCGGUAACACCGGCAGCUCGAGUGGUAGCUGUUUUUAUUGGGCCUAAAGCGUUCGUAGCCGGUUUGAUAAGUCUUUGGUGAAAGCUUGUAGCUUAACUAUAAGAAUUGCUGGAGAUACUAUUAGACUUGAAGUCGGGAGAGGUUAGAGGUACUACCGGGGUAGGGGUGAAAUCCUAUAAUCCUGGGAGGACCACCUGUGGCGAAGGCGUCUAACUGGAACGAUCUUGACGGUGAGUAACGAAAGCCAGGGGCGCGAACCGGAUUAGAUACCCGGGUAGUCCUGGCCGUAAACGAUGUGGACUUGGUGUUGGAAUGGCUUUGAGUUGUUCCGGUGCCGAAGGGAAGCUGUUAAGUCCACCGCCUGGGAAGUACGGUCGCAAGACUGAAA